UACGGGGGGGGUAAGCGUUGUUCGGAAUUACUGGGCGUAAAGGGCUCGUAGGCGGCCAACUAAGUCAGACGUGAAAUCCCUCGGCUUAACCGGGGAACUGCAUCUGAUACUGGAUGGCUUGAGUUCGGGAGAGGGAUGCGGAAUUCCAGGUGUAGCGGUGAAAUGCGUAGAUAUCUGGAGGAACACCGGUGGCGAAGGCGGCAUCCUGGACCGACACUGACGCUGAGGAGCGAAAGCCAGGGAGCAAACGGG
rnacentral:rRNA from 1 species